UACGGAGGAUCCGAGCGUUAUCCGGAUUUAUUGGGUUUAAAGGGUGCUCAGGCGGGCCAUUAAGUCGGCGGUGAAAUUUUGCGGCUCAACCGUAAAAGUGCCUUCGAUACUGGUGGUCUUGAGUGUGGAUGAGGUAGGCGGAAUUUGUGGUGUAGCGGUGAAAUGCAUAGAUAUCACGAGGAACUCCGAUUGCGCAGGCAGCUUACUAAACUACUACUGACGCUCAGGCACGAAGGCGUGGGGAUCAAACAGGAUUAGAUACCCGGGUAGUCCCU
rnacentral:rRNA from 1 species